rnacentral:rRNA from 1 species
CAGCACGGACUUAUCUGGUGGCGAGUGGCGAACGGGUGAGUAAUGUAUCGGAACGUGCCUAGUAGCGGGGAUAACUACGCGAAAGCGUAGCUAACAUCGCAUACGCCCUUCGGGGGAAAGCGGGGGACCUUCGGGCCUCGCACUAUUAGAGCGGCCGAUAUCAUCAUAUAGUUGGUGGGUAACGGCUCACCAAGGCGACGAUCCGUAGCUGGUUUGAGAGGACGACCAGCCACACUGACGAGACACGGCCCAGACUCCCACGGGAGGCAGCAGUGGGGAAUUUUGGACAAUGGGGAAACCCCUGACUCCAGCCAUCCCGCGUGUGCGAUGAUGGCCUUCAUUGUAAAGCACUUUUGGUGAGAAAGAAACGCACGGGAUAGUCACCCCGUGCAACUGACGGUACCUAAGAAUACACCGGCUAACUACGCCAGCAGCCGGUAAUACGUAGGUGCAAGCGUUAAUCAAAUUACUGGCGUAAAGCGUGCGCAGGCGGUUCGGAAAGAAAGAUGUGAAAUCCUGUGAGCUUAACUUUUGAACCGUAUUUUUAACUACCGAGCUAGAGUGUGUCAGAGGGAGGUGGCACCCGCGUGGUAGCAGUGAAAUGCGUAGAUAUGCGGAGGAACACCGAUGGCGAAGGCAGCCUCCGGGAUAACACUGACGCUCAUGCACGAAAGCGUGGGGAGCAAACAGGAUUAGAUACUCCGGUAGUCCACGCCCUAAACGAUGUCAACUAGCCGUUGGGGCCUUCGCCUUGGUAGCGCAGCUAACGCGUGAAGCUGACCGCCUGUGGGAGUACGGUCGCAAGAUUAAAACUCAAAGGAAUUGACGUGACUCCGCACAAGCGGAUGAUGUGGAUUAAUUCGAUGCAACGCGAAAAACUACCACUCCUUGACAUGUCUGGAAUCCUGAAGAGAUUUGGGAGUGCUCGCAAGAGAACCGGAACACAGGUGCUGCAUGGCUGUCGUCAGUCGUGUCGAGAUGUUGGGUUAAGUCCCGCAACGAGCGCAACCUUGUCAUUAGUUGCUACGAAAGGGCACUCCACGAGAUCGCCGGUGACAAACCGAGGAAGGUGGGGAUGACGUCAAGUCCUCAUGGCCCUGCGGUAGGGCUUGCCACGUCAUACAAUGGUCGGGACAGAGGGCUUUAUCCGGGCGAGGGGGAGCCAAUCCCAGAAACCCGAUCGGUCCGGAUCGUGUCUGCAACUUCGACUGGCGCAGUCGGAAUCGCUAGCAGUCGCGGAUCAGCAUGUCGCGGUGAAUACGUUCCGGGUCUUGUACACACUGCCCGUCACACCAUGGGAGUGGCUUACCAGAAGUAGUUAGCCUAACCGUAAGGAGGGCGAUUACCACGGUAGGAUUCGCGACCGGGGUGUCGAACAAGGU